rnacentral:misc_RNA from 1 species
ACGUACGCAGCGAUGAAGAAACGGGACAAACCAUUAUGGAAGGCAUGGGCGAGCUGCAUUUGGAAAUUAAAGCUGAUCGGCUAAAGCGCGAGUUUGGAGUGGAAGUGAAUGUGGGUACGCCGCAGGUAGCCUAUAAGGAAACCAUUCGUAUCAAAGCGGAAGCCGAAGGAAAAUAUAUUAAGCAGAGCGGUGGCCGCGGACAAUACGGCCAUGUCUGGCUGCGCGUGGAGCCAUUGGAACGCGGCACGGGCGUGGAAUUUGAAAGUGAGAUUAAAGGUGGUGUGAUUCCACAAGAGUAUGUAGCACCUGUCGGCAAAGGCGUUAUUGAAGCAGCCGUAAACGGUGUGUUGG